rnacentral:hammerhead_ribozyme from 1 species
GCACUGCUGACGAGUCCCAAACAGAACGAAACUGCUGCCCAGUGC